CUAAAUACUCGUCUGACAGGGAAACUUGCCGAUCUUGGAAGUAAUCAACAAAAAAAAGUAAAAUAACAAAAAUACUGAACUCCGAGGAAAAUUCAAAACGGAAAGUCCCUAAUCAAAUGACAAAAUCAAAUGAUAAAACACAUCAAACGAAUGGAGAACACCUGUCGUAUUCCUGACUUAGUACAGGCACUUUCAAAUGUAGAAAAUGGUGAAUUGAACUAGAUUUUAUAGAAUUGUUUUUGAAGAAGAUGUUGCGCCAUAGACCAUCUAUCUACUUUAACCACUAUAUAUUGAAACGAGAAAACUGUGUAUACAAAAAAAAAAGCAUACGACUGGAUAAAUCGUAGUUUGUUGUAUUGUUAAUUACAAUCUUAGGUGUAAGUACCAAAAAUGUUAAAUGCUUUACAUUUCUGUAUUUUAUAAUUUGCAAUCUUGUUUCAAGAUUAAUG
rnacentral:lncRNA from 1 species